CUGCGCCGCGAGCCCUGAGGAGAUGGAGGCGGCGGCGCGGGGGCCGCGGCGGGACCGGCCGCAGCAGCAGCGGGAGGCGGCGGGGAAUGGCGGCCGGGCGCUGUCGCUGUCGGGGCAGUCCUACUGGCUGGACCUCUGGCUUUUCAUCCUCUUCGAUCUGGCGCUGUUCGUCGUCAUCUACCUGCUGCCCUGAGGGCGCCGGGCCCAGAGCCACUGCCUAAUCACAGGAUGCACCUUACGAAAACAAGCAGAGCAAGAGAAGCACCAAUUGUGCAGUAUAAACGACUGGGAACACAAAGCCCCUUGCAUCGGACUGCAAGUGUCUAAUAUAUAUACUAUAUAUUUGGCUGUAUCAUUAAGUAUUACUGUUCAGGUUUUUAUCUGUAUCAAGUCUGUGUUCUAACCUGUGCCUUAGAGGUCACUUACGACAGCUUGACUGUGUUUUUGUAAUUAGUGUGUAAAGGUUUGUUAAGCAGAAAUUAAAAUACAUACUGUUUCAAUAAAAUCAACUGAAAGGACUGACUGUAGACUGGCUGAGAAUAAAAUCUAGCUCUUGUA